rnacentral:rRNA from 1 species
AACGAACGCUGGCGGCAUGCCUAACACAUGCAAGUCGAACGCUCUUGGGGCUUCGGUUUCAAGGGAGUGGCGCACGGGUGAGUAGCGCGUGGGAACCUGCCCUGUUGUGGGGGAUAACCGAGGGAAACUUCGGCUAAUACCGCAUACGCCGGUUGUCUUGAGAGAGAUGGCCGGGAAAGAUUGAUCGCAGCAGGAGGGGCCCGCGUCGGAUUAGGUAGUUGGUGGGGUAACGGCCUACCAAGCCUGUGAUCCGUAGCUGGUCUGAGAGGAUGAUCAGCCACACUGGGACUGAGACACGGCCCAGACUCCUACGGGAGGCAGCAGUGGGGAAUAUUGGACAAUGGGCGCAAGCCUGAUCCAGCAAUGCCGCGUGAGUGAUGAAGGCCUUCGGGUUGUAAAGCUCUUUCGCACGCGACGAUGAUGACGGUAGCGUGAGAAGAAGCCCCGGCUAACUUCGUGCCAGCAGCCGCGGUAAUACGAAGGGGGCGAGCGUUGUUCGGAUUUACUGGGCGUAAAGGGCGCGUAGGCGGCGAUGAAAGUCAGGCGUGAAAGCCCCGGGCUCAACCUGGGAGGUGCGCUUGGGACUACAUUGCUGGAGUUCGGGAGAGGAGCGUGGAAUUCCCAGUGUAGAGGUGAAAUUCGUAGAUAUUGGGAAGAACACCGGUGGCGAAGGCGGCGCUCUGGACUGAUACUGACGCUGAGGCGCGAAAGCGUGGGGAGCAAACAGGAUUAGAUACCCUGGUAGUCCACGCUGUAAACGAUGUGUGCUAGACGUUGGGGAGCCUAGCUCUUCGGUGUCGCCGCUAACGCUUUAAGCACACCGCCUGGGGAGUACGGCCGCAAGGUUA